rnacentral:misc_RNA from 1 species
GUGAAUCAUCAAAUCUUUGAACGCAAAUUGCGCUUCCUAGCAUCCCGGGAAGUAUGCCUGUUUGAGGGUCAGUAUUUAAAAAACAUUCGGUUUGGUUGUAACUUGUGACGUUUCCGGAGUUUGGGUUAUUUUAACUUUUUUGGUUAAGUGGCUUCAAAUUGACCUUUUUUGCGCAUUUUUAUACGUAUAUAAAUUUUUUUUUUAUUCGUCUUUUCUUAAUGCUAUAAUCUUAUUAGAUUCGAUCACAUCGUGUGGUUUAAUGUCCAUUA